rnacentral:rRNA from 1 species
UGGGGAAUAUUGGACAAUGGGCGAAAGCCUGAUCCAGCCAUGCCGCGUGUGUGAAGAAGGUCUUCGGAUUGUAAAGCACUUUAAGUUGGGAGGAAGGGCAGUAAGUUAAUACCUUGCUGUUUUGACGUUACCAACAGAAUAAGCACCGGCUAACUUCGUGCCAGCAGCCGCGGUAAUACGAAGGGUGCAAGCGUUAAUCGGAAUUACUGGGCGUAAAGCGCGCGUAGGUGGUUCAGCAAGUUGGAUGUGAAAUCCCCGGGCUCAACCUGGGAACUGCAUCCAAAACUACUGAGCUAGAGUACGGUAGAGGGUGGUGGAAUUUCCUGUGUAGCGGUGAAAUGCGUAGAUAUAGGAAGGAACACCAGUGGCGAAGGCGACCACCUGGACUGAUACUGACACUGAGGUGCGGAAGCGUGGGGAGCAAACAGGAUUAGAUACCCUGGUAGUCCACGCCGUAAACGAUGUCGACUAGCCGUUGGGAUCCUUGAGAUCUUAGUGGCGCAGCUAACGCGAUAAGUCGACCGCCUGGGGAGUACGGCCGCAAGGUUA